UGACUAUGAACACUUACAGUUUCUAAAGCAAUUUGCUGAAAAGCUUUCCUCCAAAAUGGUGCCAAUUUCUACCCCAAUCACCCAGAGGAAUGGGGGCGGGGGUCACUAGAACCCCACAUAAGUGGAAGAAGCAGAUGCCAUGAGGAUGAGAGGCUAGUGUCAGUAUAUACGUGACCCUUCUGUGUCGUACUUCUGUGUUUUUUACAGGGAAAAAAAAAUUCAUUUCCCAGAAUCAGCUGAUUUCAAUGCUAAUGUCUUGUCUCAUGGACAUAUUUGUAGUUUCUUUGCUAGUUCCCUUCACUCAUGGCAAAGGCAAGUGUGUGUCUUUCUUCAGGAUGGAAAUGGAAAUCUCCUUAGCUCCUGCUCCUGGAGUAAGACUGCUAGUGGACCAGCUCCCCAGUUGCAAGGCUGAUGGGAUUUCUCUGUGGGCAUAA
rnacentral:lncRNA from 1 species